AAUCUCUGGUGUCUCCUCAUGUGCGGAUAAAUCUUUCGCCUUUUACUAAAGAUUUCCGUGUGGAGGCACAACACAAUGAGUCUAUACUCGUUUUUUGCAACCUCGCCUCCGGGCGGGGC
rnacentral:snRNA from 1 species